rnacentral:rRNA from 1 species
GAUGAACGCUGGCGGCGUGCCUAAUACAUGCAAGUCGAGCGAAUGAUGAGGAGCUUGCUCCUCUGAUUUAGCGGCGGACGGGUGAGUAACACGUGGGUAACCUGCCUGUAAGAUGGGGAUAACUCCGGGAAACCGGGGCUAAUACCGAAUAAUAAAAGAGGAAGCAUUUCUUCUUUUUGAAAGUUGGUUUCGGCUAACACUUACAGAUGGGCCCGCGGCGCAUUAGCUAGUUGGUGAGGUAACGGCUCACCAAGGCGACGAUGCGUAGCCGACCUGAGAGGGUGAUCGGCCACACUGGGACUGAGACACGGCCCAGACUCCUACGGGAGGCAGCAGUAGGGAAUCUUCGACAAUGGGCGAAAGCCUGACCGAGCAACGCCGCGUGAGCGAGGAAGGCCUUCGGGUCGUAAAGCUCUGUUGUCAGGGAAGAACAAGUACGAGAGUAACUGCUCGUACCUUGACGGUACCUGACCAGAAAGCCACGGCUAACUACGUGCCAGCAGCCGCAGUAACAC